GACAGAGGGGGCAAGCGUUGCUCGGAAUUACUGGGCGUAAAGAGCUCGUAGGUGGUUUGUCGCGUUGUCCGUGAAAACUCACAACUCAAUUGUGGGCGUGCGGGCGAUACGGGCAGACUGGAGUACUGCAGGGGAGACUGGAAUUCCUGGUGUAGCGGUGGAAUGCGCAGAUAUCAGGAGGAACACCGGUGGCGAAGGCGGGUCUCUGGGCAGUAACUGACGCUGAGGAGCGAAAGCGUGGGGAGCGAACAGG
rnacentral:rRNA from 1 species